UCCGUGGGAUCGCCUGAAGCCAAACU
rnacentral:piRNA from 1 species